AAGUUAUAGCAAUUAAGAUAAUAUGGUGUUUUGAUAUAGACAAGAUUAGCAUGCCCCGACGCAAGGAUGACAUGCAAAUUUGUGAAGUGUUCCAUAUUUUU
rfam:Chlorocebus sabaeus isolate 1994-021 chromosome 9, whole genome shotgun sequence.